rnacentral:rRNA from 1 species
AGUGAACGCUGGCGGUAGGCCUAACACAUGCAAGUCGAACGGCAGCACAGUAAGAGCUUGCUCUUACGGGUGGCGAGUGGCGGACGGGUGAGGAAUACAUCGGAAUCUACUUUUUCGUGGGGGAUAACGUAGGGAAACUUACGCUAAUACCGCAUACGACCUACGGGUGAAAGCAGGGGAUCUUCGGACCUUGCGCGAUUGAAUGAGCCGAUGUUGGAUUAGCUAGUUGGCGGGGUAAAGGCCCACCCAGGGGACGAUCGGUAGCUGGUGUGAGAGGAUGGUCAGCCACACUAGAACUGAGACACGGUCCAGACUACUACGGGAGGGAGCAGUGUGGAAUAUUGGGCAAUGGGCGGAAGCCUGAUCCAGCCAUACCGCGUGGGUGAAGGAGGCCCUCGGGUUGUAAAGCCCGUUUGUUGGGAAAGAAAAGCAGCAGGUUAAUACCCCGCUGUUCUGACGGUACCCAAAGAAUAAGCACCGGCUAACUUCGUG